UGUAGCUGGUUGAGAUCAAUAUCUGCUCCGAAAAUCAAAAAACAGUAGAGGUUAGAUUGUCGUCUAUUAUUGAUAUAUAAGAUCUUUCAAUGCACUCUUGGAUAAUCAUUUCUGUCUCUACUUGGAAAUGGAUCAGAGAAUCACAAGUACAGCAUCUGGGAGACAUGGAGAGUGGGGGAAGGAAACUCUUCCUCCCCACCCAACUUUUUUUGUUUGUUUUCACUCAGCUUUCUGGAAUUAAAAAAAAAAAAUUCAAUAGAACCAUCAAAGACAAUGCUUUUAGAUCUUGCAUAAUUAAUACUGAGCCUCUCUUUCUGGCAAUAGACUCAAGGACCAAUUGUUUGUGAAGUCCAUGCUCUGAUUUGUAGUAAAACCAUAUUAAUAGCAUGUUAGAAGGAUGUUUAUCUUUUUAUUAUCCAUGGUAGGGGAAUCAUUUAGGUCAUCUAAUGUAAUUUCAAAUUAUCAACACAUAAAAAGAAUUGGGGCCAUAACACAGAACACUGGAGGUUAUCAUCUGACUUAUCAGGAGACCACUUGUACCUACUCUGGUUUUGUGUGGACAUAAAUAAGCACAGCCUAUGCUGAACUCAUACUGGCUGGCCCACAACCACUUCCUGCCUCCAGAAGGAAAGGGCAGUGACAGGGCAUUGAGAGUCACAAACAAUUGUAAUGGAGGUGUCUGCUCUACUGUUUUCCCGCUGGAGUUGCUCCUGUGAACCAUUGUCUGAUUCUGAAUCGAAGGAAUGCUCCUGGGGACCUCCUGGACUUGGACAGGGAGAACCAUGAGCCACAGGAAGCUCAGUGCUGAAUGGGUCUUUACUGCUGGCUGCGUAUCAGAAUCAGAACUGGCCAGACUCUGCUCAUCUGUGUCAGUUUUGCCUGAUGGAAAUUAUGCCACGGAUCAGCUCUCCCUAUGGACUAUUGCCUGACAAUCCCUGAAUGUAAAACACUUUGAAGUUAAACAUCAGUCCCAAAACUUUGGUCCGCUCACCAGACCUGAGGGACAUCUUGGAAAAAAGUGACCUAAAAAAGAAGCCCAGAACAGGCCCAAACUUAAUCCCCAGCAGAGAUUAGUCACUCCAUCAAUUCACCUGUGGAAUUUGUAAAUUAAAAAAAUCUCUGUGAGACUUCAUCA